GCCGUGAGCAGGUUCGGCCCUAUCCGUCGCAGGCGUAGGAAAUUUGAGAAGACCUGUCCGUUAGUACGAGAGGACCGGGGAUGGACAUACCUCUGGUGUACCAGUUGUCCUGCCAAGGGCAUGGCUGGGUAGCUAUGUACGGAAUGGAUAAGCGCUGAAAGCAUCUAAGCGCGAAGCCAACUUCAAGAUAAGAUUUCCCACCGCAAGGGUAAGACCCCAGAAAGACUAUCUGGUUGAUAGGUCGAAGGUGUAAGUGCAGCAAUGUAUUUAGCUUAUCGAUACUAAUAGGUCGAGGACUUGACCAAA
rnacentral:rRNA from 1 species